rnacentral:rRNA from 1 species
GGAAUAUUGGUCAAUGGCCGGAAGGCUGAACCAGCCAUGCCGCGUGCAGGAUGACGGCCCUAUGGGUUGUAAACUGCUUUUGUGGCGGAGCAAUAAGGAUUACGUGUAAUCCGAUGAGAGUACGUCACGAAUAAGCAUCGGCUAACUCCGUGCCAGCAGCCGCGGUAAUACGGAGGAUGCGAGCGUUAUCCGGAUUUAUUGGGUUUAAAGGGUGCGUAGGCGGGUCGCCAAGUCAGGGGUGAAAUCCCGGAGCCUAACUCCGGAACUGCCUUUGAUACUGGCGGUCUUGAAUUCGGAUGCCGUGGGAGGAAUGAGUAGUGUAGCGGUGAAAUGCAUAGAUAUUACUCAGAACACCGAUUGCGAAGGCAUCUCACGAAUCCGCGAUUGACGCUGAGGCACGAAAGCGUGGGGAUCAAACA